rnacentral:rRNA from 1 species
CGGCGGAGUGGGUGAGUAACACGGUGGGGAACCUCGCCCCAUAGUCUGGGAUACCACUUGGAAACAGGCGCUAAUACCGGAUAAGAAAGCAGAUCGCAUGAUCAGUCUUUUUAAAAGGCGGCGUAAGCUGUCGCUAGUGGGGAUGGGCCCCCGCGGUGCAUUAGCUAGUUGGUAAAGGUAAAAGGGCUUACCAAGGCGAUGAUGCAUAGCCGAGUUGAGAGACUGAUCGGCCACAUUGGGACUGAGACACGGCCCAAACUCCUACGGGAGGCAGCAGUAGGGAAUCUUCCACAAUGGACGCAAGUCUGAUGGAGCAACGCCGCGUGAGUGAAGAAGGUUUUCGGAUCGUAAAGCUCUGUUGUUGGUGAAGAAGGAUAGAGGUAGUAACUGGCCUUUAUUUGACGGUAAUCAACCAGAAAGUCACGGGCUAACUACGUGCCAGCAGCCGCGGUAAAU